rnacentral:rRNA from 1 species
AUUGAACGCUGGCGGCAGGCCUAACACAUGCAAGUCGAACGAGUGGCGGACGGGUGAGUAAUGUCUGGGAAACUGCCCGAUGGAGGGGGAUAACUACUGGAAACGGUAGCUAAUACCGCAUACCAUCAGAUGUGCCCAGAUGGGAUUAGCUUGUAGGUGGGGUAACGGCUCACCUAGGCGACGAUCCCUAGCUGGUCUGAUAGGAUGACCAGCCACACUGGAACUGAGACACGGUCCAGACUCCUACGGGAGGCAGCAGUGGGGAAUAUGGCACAAUGGGCGCAAGCCUGAGGAAGCCAUGCCGCGUGUGUGAAGAAGGUCUUCGGAUUGUAAAGCACUUUCAGUUGGGAGGCGUUACCCGCAGAAUAAGCACCGGCUAACUUCGUGCCAGCAGCCGCGGUAAUUC